rnacentral:rRNA from 1 species
CGGGUGAGUAACACGUAGGUAACCUACCCUUUGCUGGGGAAUAACUUCGGGAAACCAAAGCUAAUUCCGCAUACGUCCUCAAGGUUGCGGCCUUGAGGAGAAAGAUGGCCUCUUCAUGAAAGCUAUCGGCAAUUGAUGGGCCUGCGUAUCAUUAGCUUGUUGGUAGGGUAACGGCCUACCAAGGCUACGAUGAUUAGCUGGUCUGAGAGGAUGAUCAGCCACACUGGAACUGAGACACGGUCCAGACUCC